AAAAAUGCCGAAUGCUGAUGUUUCAGCAACGGGAGACCCAACCAUGGGGUGUAUCCGCCAAAGUGCGGUAGGAAAUCCUUCUUUCCGAACCCGACAGCUAAUCUCGUAGGCGUAGAAGGAGGA
rnacentral:sRNA from 1 species